rnacentral:rRNA from 1 species
AACGAACGCUGGCGGCAGGCUUAACACAUGCAAGUCGAGCGCCCCGCAAGGGGAGCGGCAGACGGGUGAGUAACGCGUGGGAAUCUACCCAUCUCUACGGAAUAACGCAUGGAAACGUGUGCUAAUACCGUAUACGUCCUUCGGGAGAAAGAUUUAUCGGAGAUGGAUGAGCCCGCGUUGGAUUAGCUAGUUGGUGGGGUAAAGGCCUACCAAGGCGACGAUCCAUAGCUGGUCUGAGAGGAUGAUCAGCCACACUGGGACUGAGACGCGGCCCAGACUCCUACGUGAGGCAACUGUGGGGAAUAUUGUACAAUGGGCGCAAGCCUGAUCCAGCCAUGCCGUGUGAGUAAUGAAGGCCCUAGGGUUGUAAAGCUCUUUCACCGGUGAAGAUAAUGACGGUAACCGGAGAAGAAGCCCCGGCUAACUUCGUGCCAGCCGCCGCCGUAAUAC